rnacentral:snoRNA from 1 species
GAAUUGAUGAUGAUUAUUGCUAAAAUAUGGAAUUACCGUCUGAUCUUUGAUGUGAAAAACGCUGGCUUUACUGAAAUUUACU